AAACGUGUCGGGCUUUUUC
rnacentral:miRNA from 1 species